GGUUGAUCCUGCCAGUAGUCAUAUGCUUGUCUCAAAGAUUAAGCCAUGCAUGUCUAAGUACAAACCAUCUUAAGGUGAAACCGCGAAUGGCUCAUUAAAUCAGUUAUAAUUUACUGGAUGUAAACUACUUACAUGGAUAACUGUGGUAAUUCUAGAGCUAAUACAUGCAAAAAAGUCUUGCCGCAAGGCGGACGCAUUUAUUAGACCAAGACCAAGGGUGCUCUCGGGUGCCUACUGGUGGUGACUCUGAAUAACUGUUAGCUGAUCGCAUAGCCUCGCGCUGGCGACAUAU
rnacentral:rRNA from 1 species